rnacentral:rRNA from 1 species
GACGAACGCUGGCGGCGUGCUUAACACAUGCAAGUCGAACGGAAAGGCCCUGCGUUUGUUUGUUGCUCGAUUGGCGAACGGGUGAGUAACACGUGAGUAACCUGCCCUUGACUUUGGGAUAACUUCAGGAAACUGGGGCUAAUACCCGAUAUGAUCUCCUGCUGCAUGGUGGUGGUUGGAAAGUUUCGGCGUUUGUGGCUGGACUCGCUGGUUAUCAGCUUGUUGGUGUGGUAGGUGCUUACCAAGGUUUUGACGGGUAGCCUGCCUGAGAGGGUUACCGGCCACAAUGGGACUGAGAUACGGACCAGAAUGCUACGGGAGGCAGUAGUGGGGAAUCUUGCAGAAUGGGGGGAAGCCAGAUGUAGCAACGUCGCGUGCGGGAUGACGGGUUACGGGUUGUAAACAGAUUUCGAAGGUGACGAAGAGUGCGUGACGGUAAUGGGUAAAGAAGCAACGGCUAACUACGUG